rnacentral:rRNA from 1 species
GCCUAACACAUGCAAGUCGAGCGGAGAUGAGGUGCUUGCACCUUAUCUUAGCGGCGGACGGGUGAGUAAUGCUUAGGAAUCUGCCUAUUAGUGGGGGACAACAUUCCGAAAGGAAUGCUAAUACCGCAUACGUCCUACGGGAGAAAGCAGGGGAUCUUCGGACCUUGCGCUAAUAGAUGAGCCUAAGUCGGAUUAGCUAGUUGGUGGGGUAAAGGCCUACCAAGGCGACGAUCUGUAGCGGGUCUGAGAGGAUGAUCCGCCACACUGGGACUGAGACACGGCCCAGACUCCUACGGGAGGCAGCAGUGGGGAAUAUUGGACAAUGGGGGGAACCCUGAUCCAGCCAUGCCGCGUGUGUGAAGAAGGCCUUAUGGUUGUAAAGCACUUUAAGCGAGGAGGAGGCUACUGAGACUAAUACUCUUGGAUAGUGGACGUUACUCGCAGAAUAAGCACCGGCUAACUCUGUGCCAGCAGCCGCGGUAAUACAGAGGGUGCGAGCGUUAAUCGGAUUUACUGGGCGUAAAGCGUGCGUAGGCGGCUUUUUAAGUCGGAUGUGAAAUCCCCGAGCUUAACUUGGGAAUUGCAUUCGAUACUGGGAAGCUAGAGUAUGGGAGAGGAUGGUAGAAUUCCAGGUGUAGCGGUGAAAUGCGUAGAGAUCUGGAGGAAUACCGAUGGCGAAGGCAGCCAUCUGGCCUAAUACUGACGCUGAGGUACGAAAGCAUGGGGAGCAAACAGGAUUAGAUACCCUGGUAGUCCAUGCCGUAAACGAUGUCUACUAGCCGUUGGGGCCUUUGAGGCUUUAGUG